rnacentral:rRNA from 1 species
UCGAGAAUCUUCCGCAAUGGGCGAAAGCCUGACGGAGCGAUGCCGCGUGAGGGAUGAAGGCCUUCGGGUUGUAAACCUCUGUCGCCCGGGACGAAAUUUGACGGUACCGGGAGAGGAAGCUACGGCUAACUACGUGCCAGCAGCCGCGGUAAUACGUAGGUAGCGAGCGUUAUUCGGAUUUACUGGGCGUAAAGGGUGCGCAGGUGGCUGUGUGUGUGAAGUGUGAAAGCCCGGGGCUUAACUCCGGAAUUGCACCUCAAACUACAUGGCUAGAGCAUUGGAGAGGGUAGCAGAAUUCACGGUGUAGCAGUGAAAUGCGUAGAUAUCGUGAGGAAUACCAGAGGCGAAGGCGGCUACCUGGACAAUUGCUGACACUCAAGCACGAAAGCGUGGGGAGCAAAAGG